CACACACACAAUAAUUUGCAUAUUAAUCAUACUAGCAAUAAAGUAAAUAGGCUAACAUUGUGUGGUUUGUGUGGCGUGUGGUAUGUGUAAGGUGUGGACUGUGUAGCAUUUGGACUGUGUAGCGUGUGGACUGUGUAGUGUGUGGACUGUGUAAUGUGUGGACUGUGUAAUGUGUGGACUGUGUAAUGUGUGGACUGUGUAGUGUGUGGACUGUGUAGCGUGUGGACUGUGUAAUGUGUGGACUGUGUAAUGUGUGGACUGUGUAGCGUGUGGACUGUGUAGCGUGUGGACUGUGUAAUGUGUGGACUGUGUAGCGUGUGGACUGUGUAGUGUGUGGAUUGUGUAAUGUGUGGACUGUGUAAUGUGUGGACUGUGUAGCGUGUGGACUGUGUAGCGUGUGGACUGUGUAGCGUGUGGACUGUGUAGUGUGUGUGUGUGUGCGAGAGUGAGA
ensembl:lncRNA